GAUGAACGCUGGCGGCGUGCCUAAUACAUGCAAGUCGAGCGAACAGAUGAGGAGCUUGCUCCUCUGACGUUAGCAGCGGACGGGUGAGUAACACGUGGAUAACCUACCUAUAAGACUGGGAUAACUUCGGGAAACCGGAGCUAAUACCGGAUAAUAUAUUGAACCGCAUGGUUCAAUAGUGAAAGACGGUUUUGCUGUCACUUAUAGAUGGAUCCGCGCCGCAUUAGCUAGUUGGUAAGGUAACGGCUUACCAAGGCAACGAUGCGUAGCCGACCUGAGAGGGUGAUCGGCCACACUGGAACUGAGACACGAUCCAGACUCCUACGGGAGGCAGCAGUAGGGAAUCUUCCGCAAUGGGCGAAAGCCUGACGGAGCAACGCCGCGUGAGUGAUGAAGGUCUUCGGAUCGUAAAACUCUGUUAUUAGGGAAGAACAAAUGUGUAAGUAACUAUGCACGUCUUGACGGUACCUAAUCAGAAAGCCACGGCUAACUACGUG
rnacentral:rRNA from 1 species